GCGUUAGCCAGCGGUUAGCAUCUGGCGGCACAGAAAUGUAACUCUAAUAUUUUUCAAGAAAAAGGAGGGACUUCCAUGUAUUUGCGAGUCACGAUGACGAGUGCGGGACCAGCGAUGGAGCCGUGGAUCAAGCCACAGCUCCGAUCUGCAGGAGACUGAUUAUUGAUUUACAGUUUAAGUACACUAACAAGUACAAGACAUCUGCAUCAUGGGAAGGAUCAGCUUCUCGUGCCUUUUCCCAGCACCGUGGCAUUUCAGCCUCUCGUCCCAGGUUCUUCCUCGGCUCCUGGUACCUUCCCUCAGACAGCUGCUCUUCAUCGGCCUGGUGCUCUGCCUCAUAGGACUGCUCUACCUGCUGCUUGUCACUGGAAAGGGGCACGCCAGA